CAGAGACGGUGUAGCUGUCCUCUAUACAGACCCUGGGUGAGACUAUUUAUGCCUCCCUGUCCUGCUGUGCAUCACUUGGAGACCUCACAAGAAAAGGCACCUGUGGAAAUAGAAUAUGAUUGAGGUAUCUUGGGAUAUUUCACCACAACAGCAAGAGCUGCUGGAUUUUCCUGAGGAAGCAACAGAUCCUCUGCAGGGCAGCUUUUUCCAGCACCAUUCACGCUGUUUUCUGGGCUGGCAGCAGCAACCAGUGGAACUUGAACGUGUUUAGGGGUGUUCCCGUUCCAUCUCCUUGCCUCCCUUUGCUGUGGCUCUGCACACUCAUACAAAAAUGUGAUGGAGGCUGCACUUGAGAAACCACCUCUCUCCUGUACUACUAAACCAAAUUUGGAAGAUAACUGAAUCUCACCGAGUGUAGAUCCUUUACUUCCUUACAACAGCUUUAUGAAGAGAAAUGCCGCUGUUAGUCUGACUUCUACAACCAGUGACAAAAAGACAUGACAUGGUGCAUGUGGAGAACAUGCUCGUCUCAUCACUGGGGCCCAGAGGGCUGCUUGUCUCUGCUCCCAGAAAGGGCCGUGGAGAAUGGAAACCUACCAC
ensembl:lncRNA